rnacentral:rRNA from 1 species
CCUACGGGAGGCAGCAGUGAGGAAUAUUGGUCAAUGGACGAGAGUCUGAACCAGCCAAGUAGCGUGAAGGAUGACUGCCCUAUGGGUUGUAAACUUCUUUUAUAUGGGAAUAAAAUGUUCCACGUGUGGGAUUUUGUAUGUACCAUAUGAAUAAGGAUCGGCUAACUCCGUGCCAGCAGCCGCGGUAAUACGGAGGAUCCGAGCUUUAUCCGGAUUUAUUGGGUUUAAAGGGAGCGUAGGUGGAUUGUUAAGUCAGUUGUGAAAGUUUGCGGCUCAACCGUAAAAUUGCAGUUGAAACUGGCAGUCUUGAGUACAGUAGAGGUGGGCGGAAUUCGUGGUGUAGCGGUGAAAUGCUUAGAUAUCACGAAGAACUCCGAUUGCGAAGGCAGUUCACUGGACUGCAACUGACACUGAGGCUCGAAAGUGUGGGUAUCAAACAGGAUUAGAUACCCCAGUAGUC